rnacentral:rRNA from 1 species
UAGGGAAUCUUCCACAAUGGGCGAAAGCCUGAUGGAGCAACGCCGCGUGUGUGAUGAAGGGUUCCGGCUCGUAAAACACUGUUGUAAGAGAAGAAUGACAUUGAGAGUAACUGUUCAAUGCGUGACGGUAUCUUACCAGAAAGGAACGGCUAAAUACGUGCCAG